ACCAUUUCCCAGACUGAUUAUGAACCACUUAAUAGCGAGCCCUCGAAGUUUAAGAGCUUAAGAGAACAAGUUCGGUUCCAGAGCAAUAAAUUUCUCACACCCAAGCCUCCUUCACCUUUGGGGGAGGGCAGACCAAGGUAUCUUAUGGGC